rnacentral:rRNA from 1 species
GUGGAUUAGAUACCCUGGUAGUCCACGCCGUAAACGAUGUCUACUAGCCGUUGGGGUCCUUGAGACUUUAGUGGCGCAGUUAACGCGAUAAGUAGACCGCCUGGGGAGUACGGCCGCAAGGUUAAAACUCAAAUGAAUUGACGGGGGCCCGCACAAGCGGUGGAGCAUGUGGUUUAAUUCGAUGCAACGCGAAGAACCUUACCUGGUCUUGACAUAGUGAGAAUCCUGCAGAGAUGCGGGAGUGCCUUCGGGAAUUCACAUACAGGUGCUGCACGGCCGUCGUCAACU